GGGCCGCACGCGCGCUACACUGACGGAGGCAGCGAGUCCUUGCCAGAGAUGGCUGGGGAAUCUUAGACUCCGUCGUGCUGGGGAUAGCGCUUUGCAAGAGGCGCUUCAACGAGGAAUUCCUAGUAACGCGAGUCAUCACUUGCGCUGAUUACGUCCC
rnacentral:rRNA from 1 species